rnacentral:lncRNA from 1 species
ACCCGACCGCUUUCCCUUGACCGUUAACUUUGCGGAGUUGCGGUAAAAUCUUUUUUCACUUCCGUUUUUUAUUUUCCUUUUCUCAUUUUGUUUUUAUAUCCACUGCACUCUCUCUGUUUCUCUCUCUAGGGUUUUAACCCAGAAGAGGACUUCAAAAAUCUCGGAUGCGAAACUCGCUGGAUUUCAAUUCAGAUCGUCGAAAUCAGUUUAAAUUGACAACUUCGGACCUACUAAUUCGUAAUUUAGUAUGCAUUGUAAGUGUAUAUUUGUGCUUAAAUUAUUUGCUUUCUUUUACUGGGUAUGUUUGUUACUGUCAUUUGAAAAUGCUUGCAAUUUAAAAGGUGAGUUUUUUUUCUUCAUCUUUUUCGUCUUUUUUUUUUUUUUUUUUCGUUUGGUUUUUUAUGCUUACUAAUUUGGGA